rnacentral:lncRNA from 1 species
ACUGGAGUGGUCAAUCCCAUCUUGACACAUGCACCGACAAGUCAAGUACUUGACUACACCCAGCAUCCUUCCGUCACUGAAUUAGAAAUUCAGGUAGUCCAGUGCCUAAGUGCAGUGAGUUGCUUGCAAGUCACCGUGACGGUCUCAGGUCAGAGGGACAGUUAUACCCAUAUCCCAUCGGAGCAAAUCUUGACAGCAGAAAUAGCUCCAGAGUCGGUCACGUUCAGUGCAGAUGUACCCUUACAUCUCACCUGUAUGCCAUACCAGUAUCUCCACACUCCUUGGUUAAGAGGACAA